rnacentral:lncRNA from 1 species
GGAAUUGCCAAUGUCCGAGCCUUGAGCUGAUGCUGAGCCCGGCGACAAUCACCGAGGUGUCUCGUAUCGUCUACCACGGGUUCGCUUUCGUCCCGGUGCCCACCUCGGCCGCCGCGACAUUGCACCUGGCGCUUGCCUCGCAGGUGAUUCCGGGAACACCUCCCACGUGUCGCCUUCAUCAAUGGGGCACCUGUCACCUUGUCCUUCCAGAAUGUGGACAGUCAGUAGAGAAUUGUAUGCGUGUCCUACCUGGGUCAGUUCACCUCAGAGGCAGGGAUUGAACUGCAGUCAGAUGCACAUCCACAACCCCUUCUGCUGGAGAAUGACAUGUCAUCCCUACAUGCCAGUGUGGAGCUCCCCUGUCUCCCCUCCCUCCCCAGGGCCCGAGGGUGCCCCUGCCCCCUGUCUGCUACUGGAGGAGGACCAGGAACCACUGGAGUCUCAUACACAGAUUGAGCCAAAGAAACGUAAAGGUGGCUGGCCAAAGGGAAAGAAGAGGCAACCUCCGAGAGAGUUAACUGUCCCCAGAGUUCCAACAACAGGGAGGACUCUUGGGAGGCUCUUGGGAGGCCCUCACAGAGGAGUUUGA